GGUGAAACCAAGAAGAAGAAGAGGCGGAAGCGGGUGCGUGGGACAGCGAGAGGAGAACACGUGCUUGAGAUAAAGAGAGAAAGGCUCGUGAAUUAUCAGAAAUCACUUUUCCUGUCUUUCCUUUUUUAUUUGACUGAAGCUGAGCACUUUUGGUUAAAAAAAAAGAAAAAGGAAAAAAAAAAAACCGUGAGCACAUAUUUUAUAUACAUACGGAAAUAGUAAUUAGGAGUUUCACAUAAAUAUAUAUGAACAUGAUACAUUUGAACACUGCUAGCCUAAACAUAUUCCUGCCAUGGAGAACACCACCACAUUGUCCUGCAGAAACAUUUCUGAUGGUGAUGGUUACACUUACAAAGUGCCGUCUUAUAUACCAUCUGCUCUACUGCAGGACGAGGACUGUGAGCAAGAGUGGAUAAAUAAGGCAAGGGAGUUUUUGUCAGAUGGACAUCAUCAUGCAAAUAAAACUGAGCACCCACUGGUUCGUAAUGAAACCAUAAAAAACAUCAAAGUCUCCGAAUGCAUCGAGCUUCGCCAUUCUGUGACCUGUCAUGGAUCGAGUCAAAAGUUUAUACACACUUACCAAGUGAUCAAUGACACCGCCCUGAGUUUUGAGCAGCAAUCCAAUAGCACCAACACCACCAUCAUCUCUGUCGUCGUUCCCCUUAUUCUGAUUGUAGUCCUGAUUGUAGGCCUGCACUACAUAAAAAGGUACAACAAGAAAAGAGAAGCCGUGUCAAAAGUAGUCAUAUCAAUGAAGAAGCUCAACCAGACCAAGCCAUGGAAUUGGUGAGCACCCAGAGCACUCCAAGAGCAUAUGAAGAUUAAGCUUCUCCCUCCGAAAGUUCCUACAAAGCACAUGUCAGAAUGAUAACAUGGUCAGUACUACUGAGUGUCCAAUACAGAAAACAAUGGGAAUUUAAUGGCUACUGGUACAGUGCUGCUAGAAAGUUUGUGAACCCUUUACAGGUUUCUGUAUUUCUGCAUAACUUUUACCAGAAAUGUGAUCACAU
ensembl:lncRNA